UACGGAGGGUGCGAGCGUUAAUCGGAAUUACUGGGCGUAAAGGGUGCGUAGGUGGUUUGAUAAGUUAUCUGUGAAAUUCCUGGGCUUAACCUGGGCAGGUCAGAUGAGACUGUUAGACUCGAGUAUGGGAGAGGGUAGUGGAAUUUCCGGUGUAGCGGUGAAAUGCGUAGAGAUCGGAAGGAACACCAGUGGCGAAGGCGGCUACCUGGCCUAAUACUGACACUGAGGCACGAAAGCGUGGGUAGCAAACAGG
rnacentral:rRNA from 1 species